CUCUUUUGGUGUUUUCUGGUGAGCUCAACCCAAGGCAACUGAGGAAAGCUUGUCUCUGAUAGAAGUCCCUGGUUUGAUGAUCUCAAUGGUGUGUGAAAUUGAUUUUGAGCAAUGAGGAAGCUAUGUUUGAGUGGAUCAGAACAGAAGUUUGCUUUUUUUUUUUUUUUAACUGUGAAAUAUGAGUAUUUGCACUGUAUUUCUCAAGUAGUGCAUGCUAAGUUAAUGUCAUUUGUUAUGAUGAGGUUAUGAGGGAGGUUUUAUGGAAGGAUUUACAUUGCAAGGGGUGUUAUGUCAAAAGUUGUGGGCUUGAUGUGGUGGAGGUGUUAUAUUGAAGAGAAUGUUACAAGACUUGGAUGAAUGUUAUAUAGAGGGAGGCAUUACAUGGGCAUUAUUUGGUAGGCAAGCGUAAGUACGUAUUAUACUAUUUAAAUAUGUGAACCUGUUAACAUACUCUUUGGCAUAUGGAAUAAGUAUGGUCACUUGUUUUACCUAAAUAAUUUUGAGAUUGUUUUGAUGCAAUGAGAGAGUUUAU